UACGGAGGAUCCGAGCGUUAUCCGGAUUUAUUGGGUUUAAAGGGUGCGCAGGCGGGAGAUUAAGUCGGCGGUGAAAUUUCGCAGCUCAACUGUAAAAGUGCCUUCGAAACUGGUUUCCUUGAGUGUAGAUGAAGUAGGCGGAAUUUGUGGUGUAGCGGUGAAAUGCAUAGAUAUCACGAGGAACUCCGAUUGCGCAGGCAGCUUACUAAACUACUACUGACGCUCAGGCACGAAGGCGUGGGGAUCAAACAGGAUUAGAUACCCGUGUAGU
rnacentral:rRNA from 1 species